GUUGGGUAGUCCGCACGAGCGCACCCUUGUCCUUAGUUGCCAACGGGUUAAGGUGGGCACUCUAACGAAACUGCCGGUGACAAACCGGAGGAAGGUGGGGAUGACGUCAAGUCAUCAUGGCCCUUACGGCCUGGGCUACACACGUGCUACAAUGGCCGGUACAAAGGGUUGCCAAGGCGCGAGGUGGAGCUAAUCCCAUAAAACCGAUCGCAGUCCGGAUCGCAGUCUGCAACUCGACUGCGUGAAGUCGGAAUCGCUAGUAAUCGUGAAUCAAAAUGUCGCGGUGAAUACGUUCCCGGGCCUUGUACACACCCGCCCGUACC
rnacentral:rRNA from 1 species